rnacentral:tRNA from 1 species
GGAAAUAUAGCUCAGUUGGUAGAGUAUUUGCCUAGCAUGCCCAAGGCCCUGGGUUCAAUCCCCAGUACCACCA